rnacentral:sRNA from 1 species
CGUCGGCAGGUCGUCGGUCAUUUAUCAGUACCUACUUGUUUAUACGUAGUUCUAUCUACGUCUUAUAAUUCUCAGGAUCUCAUGACCGCUUAUCUAAUGAUAUACACUCACUGUAUUCAGAUCAUGCCGAAGCCAAAAGCUGAAGCUUAGCCAGAUGUCGUUGAGGGCCUCAGUGAAAAGUUGUCAGUUCCGGAGCUCAAACGCUGCUUUUGCAGUGAAGAGUUCUACGAGGUAAGUAGGUAAGUGGCCAUUGGCUAAUCAACCUGUUGAUCUAUAUUGUUCGCCAUUAUUUAUGGGUGCUGACUGAUCGUUAGCUCCUUUAAUGCUCUGGUUGCGCCAUCGUGCGAAACGUCUUGCGCGUUUCCUACCACAUCGUUCUCCUUGCCAUCCACGAAGACGCAAGCCUGGCGAGCAACCAGUGGCUAGGUAGCGACCCGGCUGACCUGGCGACAAUCAAUCGCCUAACCCAAAACAUUCCAUCCGCAAGCCGUACGGGGACCAAAAAGUACACGAUCGAUCAAUACCUAGCAAUUAUACAUAUACUGCAUAUUAGGACAUCAGGCCAUGCCCCAAAUACGCGUGACUCAACGUCAAUGAUUACUUUCACACAUUCUACCGGAUUAUAAAGUGCUAUAUAUCGUCUAUCACACAGCGUGGACAUCUUUCAGUCCGCCAGUUUGCUUUGGCAUCCUCACAAACAAUGCUACCACUAUCCCCGCAAUACUCGCCAACCCGGUAGCGAACCAGAAGGAAGCUCGAUAGCCUCUGAGCCUGUCGUCUAUCGUGUCUUCGGAGCCACGAAUGUAAUAUUCAAGAGUCCCCGUCAAACCUAACCCAAUCGCAAUACUAUUUCCGACGAUCAGUGAUUCCCUUCCGAAGGUGCAAGGCGAGAGGAAGGCGACAUACGAAUAGUUGGUGAUCAUGCUUACCACGCCUGCCGCUAUGCCUUGAAAUUCAUGGCUUACCGAGUUACUGACGAUCAGUUGUCCGGUGCUGAAACUCAUGUCUACAGUCAAAUGAACGAUGCUUAGCUUAGAUUUUUGUUAGAUAAAGUCUCAGAAUGAAGCGUACCUGGUCCGAAAGUACCUAUGACCAAACUCCAAAAAGUACUCUUCCAAUACUGCCCCUCUGCAGUGCUUGUAGAAGCUGUGGCUGCUAUGAUAUUGCACACAGUGAAUGCGAACAUGGAGAGAAGAAAGAUGAAAUGGUUUGGAAGAUGGCGGAUGAGAAAAGGGACGAUGAGGGCGGCAAUUAUCCCUAGCUUACGGUAGGCGUCUGGGUGGUUCGAUUGGGGGGAGGAAAUGACUUACCUGCAGGCAAAAGGGGCGUGAGUUGAAAUGCCAUCUCGCCCUUCUUUAGUAUUUAUCUCGGAAUCACUCACAAGAACGUCGUGUAAAGCAAGAAAGUCCCGUAACUCAUCCACCCAAGCCACAGACUCAAAUACACCAAUAGACUUUGCUUGCUCAGCACCUCCAUCGGGAUCAACGCCCCUUUGCCAACUCUUCUUUCCCACCAGACAAAGACACCACCAAAGAUCAAAGAAACCACAAGCAAUGCAGGGAUGUAUGCCGCAGACCAUGAGACGAGCGGUGCUUGGUUCCAGACGAAAUUGAAGAGACCUAAUGUUAGAGAGAGCAGGAUAGCGCCGACGGUGUCAAAUUGGGGUUUGGACACGGAUGGGCAGAGAGAGUCAGGUGGUAAGACGUAGAAACCGGCACCAAGGAAUAAGGCAAUGAGUAUAGCCGUGAACCACCAGACCCACUUGAUAUGUGCAAAUUGUGCAAAAAGACCACCUAUCACGCCCCCAAUCCAGAACCCAGCUGGCGCAAGAGCACCGAGGAUAGAGAAUACCAUGUUGCGCGUUUGCCCUGGUGGAUAGGUGCGACCUAGGAUGGCCAGAGCGUUCGGUACUAUCCAUUAUGGUCAGCGCCCGACCUAAGCUAGGAAGAUGGUAACAGGACUUACAAGCCAGAGCAGAGCCUAUUCCUGCCACUGCGCGGGCAAUGUCGAAUCCUAUUGCAGAUGUCGCGAAGCCACUUCCGAUAUUGCAGACAAUCAUGAAGGUACAUCCCACUGCCCAUAUCAGUCGAGGGCCAUAGAUGUCUCCCAGACGGCCGGCCAUGACCAGAAACAUUCCCACUGUCAAACUAGUAUACGUCAUUGGCAAAAUGUCGGACGAAGAAUGAAAAGAAGGACGUACCCAUAACUAGCAGCCAUCCAGCUCAUCUCCCCGCUAUUGUUAUCCUUCCCUAACCAUUCGGCGGUCGCAUGAAGGGGCAUCAUGACCAUACCCAGCUGUGCUUGGACGAUAAGCUGAGUAGCACAAGUAAUGAGAAGGAAAGCCAAUCUGAAGAAUGAAGGGCGGGAUCGGAGAUAACUUUGGCUCGGUGUGAGUGGGGGUAGAGACGUAUUGGCGGAAGGAAAGAUAGGGAUUGUCGAGGCAUUGAGAUCAUCCGGUUUCUCAUUUUGAUCUUCGUCCUUUGAAUUUUGAGCAGGACCUGGGCCACUGUCCUUCGCGCUUUCAGGCCAAGCGCUAUCAUUGUACAGGCCAGGUAGAUCUGACUUCAUGUUAGGACCCUUGCCAGAUGAAUAAGGGAUGUAGUUCUCUUGUGGUUCAACGAAAGAAGAAGAGGCAGGAGCCUCGCGGGUCAGACCUUCAUUAUCUUGCACCUCGGCAUUUUCCUCAGGUUCGCGCUCAUGGGCCUGAGGAUAUAAGGGUUCGACGCUGUUGACACUCUUGAGCUUGUCGCCGGACAAUGUCCAUGGCUCACAGAGCGUGGCACCAGACCAGACAUGUGGAAGCGGACGAUAUUCAUCCUCAUUGUCUUCCAGUACGGGUUGAUUGGAAGGAAUAGAAGGGAAAGCAUCUUCUUUCUGGUUAAUUCGAUUAGUCGGCAUGUUCAAUUGGGAGCUUCAAAACCUGGCGUCUCUUCUAUCUAGGGCUGUAAAAAAUUGAGGAGAGAUGUAUUUUUCUUUCCUCAUUCUGGAGGGUUUAUAUAGCAUUCUUGACAUGCUUUCAACCGUUCAUCCGUUUGUCCGUACGAAUUACAAGCGUUAUCGGGAAUAUACCUCAGUCCUUUUUGCAUCGCGCAUCACCUACUCUUUUGCAAACAGCUGACAGCUGAGCUGUGCAUGGUUAAGUUUCAAAUUCUACUCGACGGCUGACUUCUUCCUUCUUUUUCUUUGGAGGAUGGAACAUCUGGA